rnacentral:lncRNA from 10 species
CGACAGAGCGAGACGCCGUCUCAGAAAAAGAAAAAAAUAAAUCAAAUAAAAAAAUAAGAAUAAAAAUACAAAAAUUAGCUAGGCGUGGUGGCAGGCACCUGUAAUCCCAACUACUCAGGAGGCUGACGCAGAAGAAUCACUUGAACCCGGGAGGCAGAGGUUGCAGUGAGCCAAGAUUGCGCCACUGUACUCCAGCCUGGGCAAUAGAGUGAGGUUCCAUCCCCCCCAAAAAAAAAACAAAAAAAAAGGAAAAGGAAAAAUAAAUCUAUGGAACUGCUCAUGGGGAGGAGGGACGGCCUGGCCCUGCCACUCAUGUUGACGAAGAAGUAAACUGAGGCACGGCCCUUCCCUCCCCCAUCAGAACUGAAAGGUGUCUGAGGCCCCAGCAGGCCCUCUGCAUGAGAUUCGGUGGCUCUGAGGGCCUCAGAUGUCCUCACUCCCCCCCCCGUUUCUCCUGCCAGGCUCAGAGUAUCAUUUUCAAAAUGGUAACCAGCAAACCAACGUGAUUCUCGCACAAAGGCAAGGUGAGCCUGUUCCUCGCUCACCCUGAAUCAUUCAUGAAGGAGGCAGCUGGCCUGCGGGCUGGGAUGGGAGACAGGAGAGGAGAAAAGACAGAGGCUGGGCCCUGCUCGCUAAAUAAAUCAGGUGCCCACGGGAGCCCCUGGGCGUCUUCCCGCGCUGGCGUUCUGCAUAUGACAGCUGACCUGUAAAUUGCUGGGCCCUCAGCCAUGGUUACUGUCAGGCCAGCCCAGGAAGGACACUGGUUUCAGGUGACCUGGGUGAGGUGGAGGCGGUGGGGGGGGUUCCUGGGACCAGGCCGCCAUUGCAAAAACAAACGGCCUGCUUGUACCUGCUAUCGCCCUCUAAGCUUCAGGUGGUGGGUGGGGCUGAGGGGCUGAGAGGUGGCCCCAAAGAAAGACAACCACAUCCUAAACCCUGGAACCCGUGAACAAGGCUUCAUUUGGAACACCAGUCUUUGAAGGUACCAUUAAGUGUCUUGAGAUGAGAUCAUCCUGGAGUCUGCAGGUAGACCCUAAAUUCCGCGACAUACAUUUUAUUUUUUAUUUUUACUUUUUUUUUUGAGAUAGCGUGUCACUCUGUUGCCCAGGCUGGAGUACAGUGGCGUAAUCUAGGCUCACUGCAACCUCCGCCUCCCGCGUUCAAGUGAUUCUCCCGCCUCAGUCUCCCGAGUAGCUGGGAUUACAGGAGCAAACCACCACGCCCGGCAAAUUUUUGUAUUUUUAGUGGAAACGGGCUUUCACCAUGUUGGCCAGGAUAGUCUCAGGCUCUUCACCUUGUGAUCCGCCUGCCUCGGCCUUCCAAAGUGCUGGGAUGACAGGUGUUUAUUUUCGUUUUUGUUUUUUAGAGACAGAGUUUCACUCCUGUUGCCCAGGCUGGAGUGCAAUGGCGCAAUCUCGGCUCACUGCAACCUCCGCCUCCCGGGUUCAAGUGAUUCUCUUGCCUCAGCCUCCCAAGGAGCUGGGAUUAUAGGGCAUGCACCACCACGCCUGGCUAAUUUUUGUAUUUUUGGUGGAGAGGAGGUUUCUCCAUGUUGGCCAGGCUGGUCUCGAACUCUGACCUCAGGUGAUCCACUCACCUCGGCCUGCCAGAGUGCUGGGAUUACAGGUGUGAGCCAUUGCACCCGGCCAGACACUGUCUUAAAAAAAUAAAAAUAAAAAAAGGUACUGGACAGGUGGCUGGUCAUGUGGGGCUUGCGGGGUAAGGGAUGGCCUUGGGUUUAUACUUUGAGCAAGACAGGAGGCCUGGCGGGGCCACGAUCAGAAGUGGGUUUUAACACGAUUCCGAAGGGUUAGACUGGUGCUUGGAACCUGGUGGUCUCUACUGCUGCCAGCUGCCACUCAGACCCCCGGCCGCCCCUGCCUGUCUGCUUUCAGGGCGGGGCCCAUCCCAGGCACUCCGCGAACAGACAGAAGCGGCUGGUUCUGGUGGUGUGAGGAUGGGGGUCUCCAGGGGAGCAAAUCCACAGUAACACACUGGGCUUCUCCCAGAUCCACCGGACAUUCCUGAUGAGUGACCCUGGCUGCAGAUGGCUCUUGGUGAGUCUCCGUUGACCGGGUGGUUCGGGCCAAAGGACCUUGCCGUGCGAUGCCUCCAUGGAGCUCGGCGGCCACCCCUAAUCCGGGCUGGAAUCCUCUGGCACCAGACGCCCGGCGGGGCUCCAAGGCUCCUGGGCCCACGCCAGGCCCCGGCCUGAAACGCAGCACUGCUGGAAUAAAACACGCCAGAGAAGCAGGGCGCUAGGCUCGCCUGGAUUUGGGGAAACGAGAAUUGUCAUGUCUUCUCCCUCCGUAGGUUGGUGUUAAUGAAAAACCCCCUUUUCAGCAUGGACUAAAUCCCGCUAAUUCUAUUUAGGGAGCAGUGUCUACUCCGGGCCGGGAACUGCUCCGGUUUCCAACCGCAGCCUCCCGUGAGGGUCCCAGUGUGGAGGGCCGGGGUCAUCCCCUCACUCUGGGAUGGCUCCCAACCCGCUGACCUGGCCUCCCCGUCAGGCACCCUCACAGCUCUGUCAGACUCUUCAUGUGAUCAGCGCUCCUGGGAACAUUAGUUUAGGGUGUUUUCUGCUGCUGGGAUGGUGGCCCGGGAGGGACCCUCCUGGUGACCCUGCUGGGCCUGGCCCUCAGUUUCCCCAGCCGUAGGCUGGCAGCCUCGAACUGUACGAGCUCCAGGCCACAGUUUCCCCAGCUGUAGGUCAGUGGGCCAGGGACUGUAGGGGGCUCGGGCCUCAGUUUCCCCAGCUGUAGGCGGGUGGCUUGGGCCUCAGUUUCCCCACCUGUAGGCGGGCGGCCUUGGAUUGUAUGGAGCCCGGGCCUCAGUUUCUCCAGCUGUAGGCGGAUGGCCGUGGACUGUGUGUGGCCUGGGCCUCAGUUUCCCCCGCUGUAGGCAGAUGGCCGUGGACUGUGUGUGGCUUUGGCCUCAGUUUCCCCAGCUGUAGGCGGAUGGCCGUGGACUGUGUGUGGCCCGGACCUCAGCUUCCCCAGCUUUAGGCGGUUGGCCGCGGACUGUGCAAAGUCCAGGCCUCAGUUUCCCCAGCUGUAAGCGGGCGGCCGCCCACUGUACAAGGUCCAGGCCUCAGUUUCCCCAGCUGUAGGUGAGAGGCCGCGGACUGUACAAGGUCCAGGCCUCAGUUUCCCCAGCUGUAGGCGGGCGGCCAAGGACUGCAAGGUCCAGGCCUCAGUUUCCCCACCUGUAGGCGGGCGGCCGCGGACUGUACAAGGUCCAGGCCUCAGUUUCCCCAGCUGUAGGUGAGAGGCCGCGGACUGUACAAGGUCCAGGCCUCAGUUUCCCCAGCUGUAGGCGGGCGGCCGCCUACUGUAUAAGGUCCAGGCCUCAGUUUCCCCAGCUGUAGGCGGGCGGCCGCGGACUGUACAAGGUCCAGGCCUCAGUUUUCCCAGCUGUAGGCAGCCGGCCGCGGACUGUGCGGGGCCCGGACCUCAGUUUCCCUAUCUCCGCAGUCGGGAUUCGCUGUUCCGGGGCGAACAAAGAACGGUCGGGGGUGACCCCGGAUCAUGGCGCGCCCGCAGUAUCUGUGGCCACUGUGGAAACAGCCCUGGCGUGUCCGGGACGCGACGCGGCCUUUCCCUCCCCGCGCGAUCACCCAGAUGUGAGCGCUCAGUUUGAAUCGGACUUUUUGGCCAUGUGCCCACAACCAACAUGGAGCCCUGAGGGUUUCCUGCCCGACUCCAAGAUGGCGAUGCGACUCCCUUUGCCCUCACGGCCCAGGCGGGCGGGUC